GCCCCCAUGACAUUCCAUCACGGGCACCUUGGAGGCGGUGGCGCAGGACGCAUACCCCUUCUGGCGGCGGAUCACCUCUCGGACUACCUCCCCCAGGCACGGAUUCUCUGCGGAGGGGAGACAAGGACACUGGGUGAGCAUGUGCAGCAGGGGAGAGAGAACGAGAGAGAACGAGAACCAGACUCAGGACCAGGAUCCUAUCACUUGUAAUCCCUGAGCCUCAAUUUUCUUGUCUGGAAAAUGGUGACACAUUUUGUGGUCCUUCCUGCUACUUCACAGUCUGUAACGAGCCUCAGAGGGAUUGUGAAUGCAAAACAGCUUUCUGCAUUUUAAAGCUUUAGGUGGCUAAUGUGAAUUUUGCUAAUAAGCCUGAUGCAGUAUUUUAAAAUUAUGAGGUUUUUAAAAGAAUCAGAAAAAGACUAAUGAUCAUAGGUGUGGGGGAGGGGAGAGUGCAGACGCGACAGCUUGGUCACAGUCGGGCCUCUGGUUGAAGGGAAGAGGGAUGCUGUUUCUACUGUUCUGGUAACUUUUCCUGUUAGAUCUGAAAUUAUUUCAAAAUUCAUUAUUUAACAACAUUGGUUAAGAAUGGUAUUUCAACAAGGGGUAAAUGGGAGAGAGAGUCCUCUGGCGACAGGAGGUGGCCUGCCUGGGGUUCUGGUGGCAGGACGGAAGACUUCUCAGUCUCCCUGCAGGACAGAAACCUCCAAGGUAAGACAGAGCCAUCUCAAUUGUGAUAUAAUUUAAUUGUCCUUUUUUUGAGCUUACCUCCAAAUUAAUACACUAAGGGGGCCAUGUAAUUUGAUGCUUUUGAAAUUAAAUCAGACCAAGAACUGUCUUCUGUUGACCCAGUAAUGGCAGGAGGACUGGAAGGAGACUGCAGCGCAACAUCUGAAAUGUUUCUGUGCGUCAGACUCACUGAGGGCUCUUGUUAAAAUGCAGGCUCUGAUUCAAAAAGUCUAGGCUGGGCCUGAGCGUCUGCAUUUCUAAUAAGCUCCCAGGUGGGUCAGUGGUGCUGGCUGGAGGGCCACACUGGCAGCUGGAGGGAGGGAUGGGGGAAGAGAGGAGAAAGAACCCAGAUGUUCAUGCAGUCCUGGCUGUUUACAAUCUCGAGAGACCCCACCUAGAACUCUCCAGCUAAGCCUUUUCUGAGUUCCUGACCUAUAGGACCUGUGUAGGAUAGAACAUGUUUAGUGUGGUUUUGAACUGCUGUGUUGGAGCUAAUUUGUUAUGCAGUAAUAGAUAACUGAUACAGGAAGGGGUAGUGUUGCCCUCAUUUUCAGGAAGAGGGAAUCUGAGGCUCAGAAAGUGAUUUAAUGAAGGUGGCACAGCCACUCAGUGGCACAGCUGGAACUGGAACUUCGGCCCCCUGGGUAUGGAGUCCAGCUCUGACCCCUGCAUCCCUCCCAGGUGUCCCCUCCCACACGCACAGCAGACCCACCUUGUUCGCAGUGCUCCCCACUAAAGCCAGGCUGGCACAGGCAGUAGGGCUCCCCUCGAUCUGAGACGUGGCACUGCCCAUGGUGACACUUGAAGGCUGAGCAGGCGUUGGCAGAGUCAUUCUUGUGGUCACACAAGGCCCCUCCGUAGCCCUCGGCACACUUGCACACGUACGAGGUCCCGGUUGCCACGCAUUUCCCCUGGAUGCAGCUGGGGGCAGAGGCGAGGAUGAGGGGAACCAGGCAGUCAGUGCCACUGGAGGCUUCUUCCUCUGUCCACACCAGCCAGGCCCAGGCUCUGUCCAGGGGUCCCGGAGCUGUGGGACCUUAGGCCCUCUCCAUCCCAUGGUCUGCCCUGCGCCAGCCUACUGGCUGAGCAUCACCCAACAACCACUGCCAGCUGUGAGCCUGACGAGGCUGGCUUGUGGCUCUUUUACACCCAGGCGUCAGAACCCACAUAUCCAAGUGGCAAGUCACUGCGUGGAGGAACCUAAGCAUUCGCCAAACAUUUUAACUGCUCUGUCGUCUUAAUGGAUAACAUGAUUAGUCCUGUCACCACCACCACCACUUGCUCUGUGCAGGCACUGGGGUGAGUGCUUUGCACCUGGCAUUGGUCUUAUUUUCUACAACCCCCCUCCUCUGCGGUCCUGUGCAGUAGCUAGUCUUAGCCACAUCUCAUAGAUGGAGAAACUGAUGCCAAAGCCUGUAUUCUUAAUCGCAAGGUAGCAUUCUCUCUACUGGGAUGACAUUCAGAGCAAGGAUUCAUCGUAGACAUAUUCAUUAUAGAGUCACACACGCUCCAGAGCUACCCAGGAAAGUCGGCUCCUUUCUAGCCGCCCUUCACUCCUGAUCCACAAUAUCAUUUGCCAACUGGUUUAGCCAAGCCAAUUACUAGUCACGGCUCUGGUGUUAUUUUUGGCUGACUCAGAUUUCUAAACACUGAGAAUGCUGGAUCUCUUCUAUUUAGCACAAGGCCUGGCACACAGGAGGCCCUCAGUAAAUAUCUGAAUAAAUAAUGAAUGGCGGAGCCGUGAAGUGA